GAACGAAACUUCUUUAUCACCGAGUGCUUGCACUCACCGAUAAAGAGUUGAGUGGCGAACGGGUGAGUAACACGUGGGCAACCUGCCCAAAAGAGGGGGAUAACACUUGGAAACAGGUGCUAAUACCGCAUAACCAUAGUUACCGCAUGGUAACUAUGUAAAAGGUGGCUAUGCUACCGCUUUUGGAUGGGCCCGCGGCGCAUUAGCUAGUUGGUGGGGUAAAGGCUUACCAAGGCAAUGAUGCGUAGCCGAACUGAGAGGUUGAUCGGCCACAUUGGGACUGAGACACGGCCCAAACUCCUACGGGAGGCAGCAGUAGGGAAUCUUCCACAAUGGGCGAAAGCCUGAUGGAGCAACGCCGCGUGGGUGAAGAAGGUCUUCGGAUCGUAAAACCCUGUUGUUAGAGAAGAAAGUGCGUGAGAGUAACUGUUCACGUUUCGACGGUAUCUAACCAGAAAGCCCCGGCUUACUUCGUGCCCGCCGCCGCGGUAAUACGUUGGUGGCCAGCGUUUUCCGGAUUUUUUGGGCGUUAAGGGGAGGCCGGCGGUUUUUUCAGUUUGAUGUGGAAGCCUUCGGCUUCACCCCCGUGCUGCCUUGGAAACUGGGCGACUUGGGUGCU
rnacentral:rRNA from 1 species